AAAAGGGAAAUAACAGUCAUCGAACUCUUCUUGGAGAUUGAGAAAUAAACCAAUUCCAAGGUACUAAUAUAUCAACCGGAUCUGCAGACUCACACAUGGGGAAACCGGUCACGGCUAUGCAACACAUAAAUAAAGGCGAUGGGGAUAUGUCGCAACUGCGAAAAACAACCGACGGGAGAAAAACAGAAGAGCCGCCACCGUUCGUUAUUUAUCCCAAGGGAGGGAAAGGAAACGAUCGAAGAAAACCUGAAGAGAAGAAAAAGACAAGGUCUCGCAACCAAAUAUAGGGUUCGGGAGUUGAUUAUGCGAAGGGAAGGUAUUAG
rnacentral:lncRNA from 1 species